rnacentral:rRNA from 1 species
GACGAACGCUGGCGGCGUGCCUAAUACAUGCAAGUCGAACGCAGUGGGGACGGGUGAGUAACACGUGGGUAACCUCCCCUCAGAGGGGAGAACACUUGGCAACAGGUGCUAAACCGAUAUUGCUGUAUGGACACGGGGGGCAUUAGCUAGUCGGUGAGGUAACGGCUCACCAAGGCCACGAUGCAUAGCUGGCCUGAGAGGAUGACCGGCCACACUGGGACUGAGACACGGCCCAGACUCCUACGGGAGGCAGCAGUAGGGAAUAUUGGGCAAUGGACGAAAGUCUGAUCGAGCAACGCCGCGUGUGUGAAGAAGGUUUUCGGAUCGUAAAACUCUGUUGUUAGGGAAGCGUUAUCUAACCAGAAAGCAACGGCUAACUACGUGCCAGCAGCCGCGGUAAUAC